rnacentral:rRNA from 1 species
AACGAACGCUGGCGGCAGGCUUAACACAUGCAAGUCGAGCGCCCCGCAAGGGGAGCGGCAGACGGGUGAGUAACGCGUGGGAAUCUACCCAUCCCUACGGAACAACUCCGGGAAACUGGAGCUAAUACCGUAUACGUCCUUCGGGAGAAAGAUUUAUCGGGGAUGGAUGAGCCCGCGUUGGAUUAGCUAGUUGGUGGGGUAAAGGCCUACCAAGGCGACGAUCCAUAGCUGGUCUGAGAGGAUGAUCAGCCACACUGGGACUGAGACACGGCCCAGACUCCUACGGGAGGCAGCAGUGGGGAAUAUUGGACAAUGGGCGAAAGCCUGAUCCAGCCAUGCCGCGUGAGUGAUGAAGGCCCUAGGGUUGUAAAGCUCUUUCACCGGUGAAGAUAAUGACGGUAACCGGAGAAGAAGCCCCGGCUAACUUCGUGCCAGCAGCCGCUGUAAAAC